UACGUAGGGGGCAAGCGUUGUCCGGAUUUAUUGGGCGUAAAGAGCGUGUAGGCGGCCUGAAAGGUCAGCUGUGAAAACUCGAGGCUCAACCUCGAGACGUCGGUUGAAACCAUCUGGCUAGAGUCCGGAAGAGGAGUGUGGAAUUCCCGGUGUAGCGGUGAAAUGCGUAGAGACCCGGAGGAACACCAGUGGCGAAGGCGGCUUCCUGGUCUGCGACUGACGCUGUGGCGCGAAAGCUAGGGGAGCGAACGGG
rnacentral:rRNA from 1 species